rnacentral:lncRNA from 1 species
CCGAGUGAUCCUCUGUGCGCCGCCUGCACCCGGGGCCGGGGCGGGCGGACAGAGCAACCGCUGCGUCUCUGCCCUGCCUUGUCACAUCUGGGUCCGGUGUUUCGGAUUCUAAAUCCUGAGUCCUGCAGCUGCUCCAGCUGUGCGCUGCUGGGCGAGCCACGUCGGCCUGCCCGUUGCCCGAGCCAGGGAAUCCUCCUGGUAGCGGGCCAGCAGCUCCGACCCAGCUGUGCUCAGUCAGAGUUCCCGGGAGAGAGUUCCAACUCGGACCUUUGGUUGGAGUUUAAAUCAACUCGCAGUGUUUCCCAUAAACUAGGGUUUGAAAUACGGUUCCUCCCCAGGACUCCCUUUCGCAUACUCACUUUAAAACGAACUUCGUGUGCACAAGCCCAGUUUGCCUUGGUUGGGGUUAGAGAACGGAAAGGGCAAACUGUGGCCAAAAAUGAGCAAGACUGUGCGAUCAUUGCCCCAAACCCUGAGACCGCCUUGCCAUAUGCGGCUCUCUUGGACACCCCCACCCCCUUCCGUAGCCAUGAAUCCAGGCAGUUGCCACUGAAGGGAAAUGAGCCGCCCAAUGGGCGCUCAGAACUAGGAGCCGCCAGAAGUUUGGGGAAGUUGGAGCGCAAGAGCGCACACAGAUGCACAGGUGUCCGCGUUCGGGCAGGCACGCGCGGCGGGGCCACCAUGGCGCGCUGGGUCCGAGGAGGGGCGGUGGCUGUGCUGUUCCACGGUGGCACGGGCUGUCCGGACUGCCUGGACGAGGUCACCUUCCCCGGAGUGGAGCACACGCGCCAAAGCUCAGCUUUCACGAAGGGCAAAACGGUCACCCAAGCGCCAGGCGUGCGCUACAGUGCAGCAACUGGGUUGACCCAGGGCCCUGGGCUCCCGGUGUGCCCCGGGUCCCGGGGCCAUUUCUCGCCCUCCACGUUUUCUUCUUUCUAUCCAGUUUCACAUGUUUAUUUUGAAGCGUGCUCCAGAUUCCUCACUAGUCGAUGCUUUCCCCGACUCCCAUCCAAACUCCCCCCAAUGGAAAAUAACACUUUUGUAUUUGCACCAAGCUGAGCAGUUGGGAUGCAAAGGACAUGCUGGGGCUCCCCUCCCCCAGUAAAGUCCACAGACGUCUCCGCGAUUGCCGGGCAGAUUCUGAGUGUCGCGUGUAACGGGCAUCAGACUUGGCACUCACUAGGUCAGAAUCCCUACAUUUGUGGAAGAAGAAAAUGAUUCCUGUGACUCUUACCUUAGGGGCGCUGCCCUUGUUUCUGAAUUUUUUCGGCAAAGAAAAAAACUGCAAUGGUUGAGCCAGGCUGCCGGCAGCCUCCCGGCUUGACGCUUCUCCAGCCGUGCAGAGUCCACUCCGGUUACUUUGCUGCGAGUCCGGAGUUUGUGCUUUCGCGACUGGACCAGGCAGCAAGGGUCUGAGGGCUGCCCACACAUUUAGGGAAGUCGAGUUUCUCCUCAAGUGUUUAUUGUUUAUUCCUUUACACGCAAAAUUGUUUCUCCUUGUCAUUUAAGUUUCUUUAUUUGCAUUUUGGAGUUACUAAAUCUAUUUUUCAGUUCCAAGAAAAUAUACAUUUAACUUGCCCAUAAGCCCCCUUGCGGGCGCAGGAGACAGGGUGGGAAACCCCAAAUAUUUGUCCUGGGAGCCCUUAUUAAAUCAGGAGGCAAACUUUAAAAUUUUCAUUAACCCUUUCCCAGAAUCAACCUCCUGUUUACCUUUCGUCCUUUUCUCCAAGUGCUUGCUGGAAGGGACGUUUUCCUGGACAAAUUAAAAAUCACAAGGCAUAACAACGGAAAAGAAAACAACUUGAGGAUGGAGUUUACUGAUUAGCUCUGAAAUUUUCAUACAUGAUCUCCCUCCUUCAUACUGGUGUCCACGUUUGUUACUUGUUGCCGUGAGGAUGACCAAGAUU